GACGAAGGGGGCUAGCGUUGAUCGGAAUUAAUGGGCGUAAAGCGCAUGUAGGCGGCUUGUUAAGUCAGGGGUGAAAGCCCGAGGCUCAACCUCGGAAUUGCCUUUGAUACUGGCAACCUUGAGUGCGGGAGAGGUGAGUGGAAUUCCCAGUGUAGAGGUGAAAUUCGUAGAUAUUGGGAAGAACACCAGUGGCGAAGGCGGCUCACUGGCCCGCAACUGACGCUGAGAUGCGAAAGCGUGGGGAGCAAACAGG
rnacentral:rRNA from 1 species